GACAAUCGCCAAAGUUCUGAGAGCAAACGUGGGUCAACUGAUGGAAAAAUAGAUAUUUUCAGAAAAGCAAAGGCUAAACAUUUGCCACUCAAAGCCCCUCACUGAAAGGUCUGCUAGAUGUCUGUCUUCAGCAAGAAUUAAAGCAAGCUCUGAGAGAAGAGUUUCGAAAGGUCAUUUUGGCGGAUGAUGGAGGAGGAUUUGGAGAAGUCUGAAAUGUAGGGAAGCAGACCAAUCAGAAGGCCACUCUACCUACAGAUGAGAAACAGCAAUAAUUUGAACUAUGGGCUGGAGAGGAGAGAGAGCACAGAUAUUAAGAAGAGAAAGAAGAGGCAAUAAGAAUUGUCUGCUGGUACAGCUGUUGGCAAACAAGCGUAUCAUCUGUCUUGCUGGUGUGAAAUAAUGUAAUGGGCAGAAAGCACAAAAUUUAUGCAAAUACUCCUAUUUGAGUGUAAUGGAUGAAGCAGAUGUUUGACACCGCAGCACCUCUUCAUAACUUCACUCUUCAAAAACAGUUUUACAAGUACUUACUCGCAUCGGUUCCCAUUCGGCACAGGAAGCUGAGGUCAUCAUGAAACAUGAGGCUGGGGCAGGAGCCUGAACUCAUGUGCUCUGCAGCUGGGCCUCCAUCUCCUGAGCACGUUAGCGAUUUAUGAAACAGCCAUAAUUUCCAGCUUAUGGACAAAGAAAUAAAAGUGUUGACACCAUUAUUGUAACAUCUGUGAAGGGAAAAAUAUGAGCCGAUUUCUAAGUGCACAAAUGGUCCCGGAGUUAUAAAGAUUCUUUUAUGCUUAAUUGUAUUCAUUAUCAGCAGUAAUUAUUUCUAACAUGAGCAGUUUCUUCCAAUUUAAUGUCAACCUAAAAGGUUAAGACCUUACAAUAGAGGCAUUUCUACCUCAUGAUUUGUUGGGUCUGCAAAGUUACGCUAAUUGGUAAAACAAGAAUUGCUUCUGGGGGCUGGCCUGCCUCGAUUUCGUCUUGUCUGGGUAAAGCAGAUCUCUCUGACUAUUAACUUCGCAAAGGAGUACUACUGGGCAGAGUGGAAAAGGAUUUCCAGGCUUACACUAGGAGCCAUAUUUAUGUCAUCAGUGGAGGGACUGCUGAAGGUUCUGUCCCACCAUCUCUAUCCCAGCAUCCUUGGAAGCAAGCUUUUGUAAUUGCAGAUGCUUGAUGUUGAGUGAUGCAUGGAGGGAGAAGGCCCCAGAAUGCUCCAGUAGUCAUUUAUGGAUGAGAAGCUGGUCUUGCUAACUAAGGCAAUGUGAGCAUGUCCUCCCAUGCCAACAGAUAAAAGCCCCAGUGACCCAAGCUCUUCUGUUCACAAUGGGCCAAGGGGACCCCAGAAUGCCAGACUUCAUCUAAUAGGCAAUCUCUUUUACCUGGUGGUUCUGUCUCCAAAGGACUGCUGCCAUGGAGAGAACUAGUGGUGUAAGGGGCUGUCGGGACCACAAUAAUGCUGGAUAAGUACCUGACAGCCCCACCGACAUCUCAGCUAUAGAGACAUCGAAUCAACGAGAUCAUCAUUUCUGCCAACUUGACGAGAAAACAACGCUGCACCUUCAAAGGCAUGAGGCCGAGCCUUUCACGGUGCAAGACAAAUGACCCUCAGUGUGAUCCCUGGUGCCACCUCUAACAGGAAAUUAUAAUAAUAUGACAAUGAUUCACUUCCAGAAAGUCAUUUGGAUAUGUGCCGAUGAGGAAUGUCUGCCAGGCUGCAUUGCACUUGUCUUUCUUCUGCCCACCACAGCAAAUUCAGGAGCAGGCGGUGGUGGGUGCAGCAGCUGCAGAGUCCGACGCAGGGGCAGCGCUUGGAGCUUCAGAAGGAAGGCAGGCGUCCUUAGAUUUGCAGCUUGGUGGCAUCGUUUCCCCCACCACCCAGAGGCACUUCUGGGCUGGCACGGGGACAGACGCAGAGACAUCUCGAGCUGCGCUCUAAGAAAUAUCUUCCAAUUCCUUGGCAGGUUGCUAAUAAACCUUCGCAGCAGGAAGGUGGCCAUGUCUGGAACCUGGAAACGUGUUUGCAAGAAACUCUCAUAGAGUCAUCAAGGUCAAAGUUGAUCUUCCUGUUAUUAAACUUGGAUGAGAAUGUUCCUGUGGACUUUGGCAGCAAGUCCAUAUUCUUUAUUUAAAUGGAAUAGUAGGAAGAAAAGGUGAGGGCACACCUUCAAUAAACCUGGGCCAGCAAGGAUGCUGCCAAGGAGGGCAGGGGCCCUGACCAAGCAA